GGGGCUUCAACUUGUGAACCUUGAGCUCAUGACCUGAGCCUAAGUUGGACGCUCAACCUACUGAGCCACCCAGGUGCCUCCAGGUUUGCAUUUUAGAAAGCAUACUGAUGUCUGUCCGGACAGAACUAAAAGGGGAGGCUGGAGGCAAAGUGCAGGUGAGAGAACCAAGAGCUUGGACUCGGCGGUAGCCAGAGAGGGGGUUGGAGUGGAAGAGGUCUGAUUGUGAAAAGUUGACAAGGGUGGGUCUAGAGGGCCUGACGGUGGAGAGGGAAAGGUCUUCCCAAAAAUGACAGCUGGCUGGGGCUUACUUAGACUAGACCUUCACCACACUUUGUCAGGACUUGGAUAGCAAAGCAGCGAAAAGUAAUUGCUAAUAAAAUUCCACCAUUUGUAAAUAUUUACCUUUCUCUGAUGGAUUAGUACAAGUUCAACCUUAGCCUUCUAACAAGGGCCCUCACAUUGUUUGUUUUGUUUUGGGAGGGGCUUGUUUUGAGUAGGUGAAAAUAGGGUGGCAUUAACCAUUCUCCUAAAAUUGCCAAUUACACUGGGUCUGUUAGACUUAUAUGGUACACGUGAUUUUGUAGCGGAUGUGCUGGCCUGACCUGACUAGAAGGCCUAGGAAGUCCCUUCAAGUCUUGAGUUAUUCUGAUGUGGCAUGAUUACAUAGCUAGAAGGUAAGGAGGGAGCUGGGGUGACAUCCCCUGCGAUCCGUGGUUCCCAUAUUUGUAAAAUGGAGAACUAAUACCCACCUCAGAGUUGUAGUUAGAAUUCAAGAUGUCUUAAUUGAAGCACUUCAGAUGGAAGAGAGUGCCUCUUUCCUCCGUGUCUCCCCCGCCCUCCGGUAGCUGGGAGCUAUGUUUGGCUCAGUCUCCCUGACUCACUGGAUUAGAAUGACUCAAUUCAGUUCCACAGAUGCUGCUGCUAAAUUAGGGUCUCAGUGAGCCUUUGGGAGGACAGCUCCGCGUGAAGUGCUGCAGCACUGCCAUCCUGCCCAGGAACAGGAUCGAAACCGGUGCUGGCUGCAGCCCUGCCUUCCACCUGCUGCGGACUUUUUCUGUAAUAUCUACAUGACCAAUGUAUUGGUUUGCUUUCACUAGAUUUCCCGCCGCCCCCCCCCCCCCACGUAUUCUAAGAACAUAGCCAAAUUCUUUACAUUUUCUUGCCUUAGUUGCUUUUGCAGAGUGGGAAGCAGAGCUGCUUGAGGAUCGCCAUGCUUCUGGAUCCUAGGGUAAAAGCUUGAGUGAACUGAGAUAAGGCCCAGGGCCGUGGAGGAAGAAGGAAAGGAGAGAGAGAAAAGGAGAGGGGUGCCAGAAAACGAGAAGGAACAGAAGUCCGUGGGGCCUGAGUGGUGAGGACCUUUACCCAAUCCUGGCAUAGCACUUGGGGACAGAAGAACUUCCUAAGGGAAAGGCUGCCUGGAAUCCCUGGGGAGGCUGCAUACUGGGCACCAGGGCUCCCUGGAACAGUUCCUGGGCCUGCGGCACAUAGGCCAGGACUGUUGGCACUUGCAGGCCCCUGGCUGGCAGAAGACAAGGCCUGCAGGGUCCACCCCCAGUACUUUGCCUUGUGAGAGAUCCCAGGACCUUUUCGUGAUCCUGGUGGGGGGAGCAAACCAUAAUGACGACAGAUAAUUCCCCCACCAGCUGUGAGGAUAGAGACUCCAUCUGAUCUAACUGGAUUAAAAGAAUAAAUGUGUCACUUCUUUUA